AGUAGAAUUGCUGGGCCAUAUGGUAACUCAUUGUUUAAACCUUUGAAAAACUAUUUUCCAAAAUGGCUGCACCAUUUUACAUUCCUGCUAGCAAG
rnacentral:pre_miRNA from 1 species